rnacentral:pre_miRNA from 1 species
CCAAAAUGUAGGUAUUUGUUGACUUUCAGACGUCACGUUUGACUCUCCGUCUUAUUUAAAAAUUUUAUGAAUAUAUUAUUUUUUUAUGAUUUGUUUUAUCAUUAGCUAUACUUUAAGUAUGACUUAUUUGUUUUUAUAUUUUUAUAAAAUUUUUAAAUAAGACGGAUGGUCAAAUGUGAUGUGCGGAAACCAAUAAAUACUUAUAUA